rnacentral:rRNA from 1 species
UACGUAGGGGGCAAGCGUUGUCCGGAAUCAUUGGGCGUAAAGCGCGUGUAGGCGGCCCGAUAAGUCCGCUGUGAAAGUCCAGGGCUCAACCCUGGAAUGCCGGUGGAUACUGUCGGGACUAGAGUCGGAAGAGGCGAGUGGAAUUCCUGGUGUAGCGGUGAAAUGCGCAGAUAUCAGGAGGAACACCAAUGCGAAGGCAGCUCGCUGGGACGUGACUGACGCUGAGACGCGAAAGCGUGGGGAGCAAACAGGAUUAGAACCU